rnacentral:misc_RNA from 1 species
UCUCUCUCUAGGUGCAAAUGGGAUCUCGAUUACCACAAGCUGGGUCCAAUGACGGUAGUCACUGUUCGCUAAUGAAAACAUGCGGUAAAGGCAAAGACUACAGGACUACGGACGGCACACAGGUUGACGAUGUGGAGAGCUGCAUGGAGGAAAAAGGUCCUGACGGAGGGUGGGGAUGGGUGGUGGUCUUCGCCUGCUUCAUGCUCUGGAUCAUCAUUGGCUCCGUGCCUGCAAUCUUCGGCAUCCUGUUCUCUGGAUUCCUGACUGGGCUUCAGACAUCCUCUGUCGUCACCGCCUGGAUACAGAACCUGGGCAUGGUGUUAUCCGCCCUCUGCUGUUACUUGGUGGACCCCUUGGUGGAAGAGUUUGGGUGGCGGAAUCUGUCGUUAGCAAUGGGGGUCAUGAUGGCGGUGGGCAUGUCCCUCUCUGCCGCCGCCACCUCCGCCGUUGACUUGUUCUUCACUUACUCUGUGUUGUCUAGUAUCCCCGUGGAUGUCAUCAUGACGGUGACACACACCAUCGUGCCGCACUACUUCACGCGACGAAUGACACUUGCCUGCAGCCUCACCUCCUGCGGCUCAUCCUUCAGCCUCAUCAUUUGCCUCCCCUCCUGGCGGUACUCAUCGAACAAUACACCUUCAGAGGCGCCACACUUGUCACUGCCGCCCUCAUGGCCAAUACCUGCGUCGCCGCUAUGGUCUUCCACCCAGUCGAGUGGCACAGCAACAUUCGUCCAUCCAAGACUGUUGCCCAAAAGGUGGAGGAGGGUGGUGGGACCUGUUCACGAGUGUUUAAUUCUUUUGGAAGGAUGCUGAAGACCGCGAGAGGAAACCUUUGGCUCUUCAAGUCCAUGCGAGCGAUUCUAAUCAACAUAAUUCUUUCCAUAGGCAUGAUGGCAUUCAGUAACUUUUUAUAUCUGGUGCCCUUCGCAAUGGAGGCUCAGGGUUACAGCACAGAAGAGUCAAGUUUGACCAUGUCCGUGGUUGGCUUUUCUCUCCUGGUCACCCGCUUCACCUAUCCCAUCCUGUUCAUCCGCUUUGGUGUGAAGCACCAAAUCGGAGUCAUGAGCAGCUUGGCUGUAUGCGGCACGGCAGUAAUCGGUUGGAUACGUGACGUUACAGGCAGCUAUCCAGUGAGCUUGAGUGUGUUGGCUGGUACUUUAUACCUGGCCGCCGCUCUUUGGUUCAUCCUGCCACUCGCCCGCAACUAUGAUUUUAGUCACGAGGAUCAGACGAAAAUGUAUGAACAGCUUGAGGAUAUGAAAAACAAGGAAAAGGAGGAACAACAGAAUGACGAGAAACUGUUGCUGCUAAAAGAAAUACCUCGCAAAGAUGUUGAUUAAUUAACAUCACAAUAGUGUACUGUACAUACAUACAUAUGUGGAAUUCUCUCUCUCUCUCUCUCUCUCUCUCUCUCUCUCUCUCUCUCUCUCUC